rnacentral:tRNA from 1 species
GGGGAUACAGCUCAGUUGGUAAAGUGCUUGCCUUACAUGCAUAAGGAUCCUGGGUUCAAUCCCAGCACCACCA